rnacentral:rRNA from 1 species
CGUAGGGAAUUUUUGGCAAUGGACGAAAGUCUGACCGAGCAACGCCGCGUGAGUGAAGAAGGUUUUCGGAUCGUAAAACUCUGUUGUUAGAGAAGAACAAGGAUGAGAGUAAAACGUUCAUCCCUUGACGGUAUCUAACCAGAAAGCCCCGGCUAACUACGUGCCAGCAGCCGCGGUAAUACGUAGGUGGCAAGCGUUGUCCGGAUUUAUUGGGCGUAAAGCGAGCGCAGGCGGUUUGUUAAGUCUGAUGUGAAAGCCCCCGGCUCAACCGGGGAGGGUCAUUGGAAACUGGGAGACUUGAGUGCAGAAGAGGAGAGUGGAAUUCCAUGUGUAGCGGUGAAAUGCGUAGAUAUAUGGAGGAACACCAGUGGCGAAGGCGGCUCUCUGGUCUGUAACUGACGCUGAGGCUCGAAAGCGUGGGGAGCGAACAGGAUUAGAUACCCUGGUAGUCCACGCCGUAAACGAUGAGUGCUAAGUGUUGGAGGGUUUCCGCCCUUCAGUGCUGCAGCAAACGCAUUAAGCA